CCAGUUUACUAUUUUUAAUUAAAAAUAACCUAUGUCAUUAGCAGUAAGUAACAGACGUUAAGGUCUGUUAGUUGUCGUUGCUAGUUAAAAUAGAAAUAAAAAGAAAACAAUUAAAUUCCUUAAAACAAUUAAACAAUUAAAGUCCUUCUAGUUCCCAAACAGUGAUAGUAUCAAACUCCUCUUAUUAAACUCCUCAAGUACUCUGUUUCAUGAACACUCAAAUGAAAAUCAAAUCCCUUAAAAAGUAGUGCCCAAAAUUUGCGAUAGAAAUCAAAUUGACGAGCUGCGUGGUUGAAUUUCGUGGAGGUUGUGGGUUGCAAACGAAAGCUGGGUUGCGAUUUGGUUGAGAGAAGGAGUCAUAGUGUGGCUGCGUUGCUGAAUUUCACCAAAAACGGGAAUUUAAGCUUGGAAGAAAGGUAAUUUCGAAUAAAUUUGUGAGAUUUAUAGCAACUCUGUUGAAUUUCGUGGAGUUGUGGGUUGCGAUCUUCAUCUGGGUUGCAAUUUCGUUGCGAGCUGGAGUGGAGUGGCUACGUUGCUGAAUUUCACCAAAAAACGGGAAUUUCGGCUUGGGAAGACAGGUAAUUUCGAUAUUUGUGAGAUUUAGAGCAACUCUUUGUUAUGCUACAUACAUUUAAGCGAAAUGUUGGUUGUUAAUGUCGUAAUUGAUUCUAGGGUUUUGUUUUUUUAUAUAUAGUUGGUAAAUGUUGAUUUAGUUAAAUAUUGUUUGGUUCAAUUGUGUAUUUGGAUAUGUUGGUUAAUGAUUAUACAUUGGUUUUGUGCCCAAUGUUUUUGAUCUGCAGAAUGGGUGAAAGGGUGUUGAAAAUGCAUUUUAUGGGUAACUCUGUCGAUGUUAUGGUUGCUGAUAUAGAUGAAUGUUUGAUGAUAGAUGUAGUAAAUGAUAUGGUUGACAAAUUUAGUUCUUUUGGGUAUGAACUCCCUACUUUUCCUGUGUUAAGUUAUUGUUCCAAUGGGAAGAGUCAUGCACUUACUGAUGAUAAAACACUAAUGACCAUGUUUGAGGUAGUUGAAUCUAGGAGGAUAGAUAUAUGGAUUGGUUGUUUGAAGCAACCUAAUUUUAUUUGGACCUUAGCUGAAAAGGUAAGGUUGAAAGGAUCAAAUGUAAGUGGUUCAGCAUCACUACCUAAACCACCAAUAACUAAACUACCAGUUAGGGGUGGUAAGAGGGGUAAGCCGGAAGAAAAAAAUUCUGGUAAUCUAUCUCCAACCCCAUCAUCUCAUGGACCAUCUAAAAUUCAAUCUCCUGAACAAAGUCAAACCAUUACUUUGUCAAGCCCAAGAAGAAGCCCCAGGCUUAUGGCUUCUAGCCCCUCAACCACACAAGAAUCAUUAAUCAACCCUCCAACUUCAGGUGUCACCCAAACAGGUCCUAGUGUUGGCCAUACUGCCCCUACUAAACCAAACAAUAUUCUUAAGCCUUCUUCAUUCCCUCAUGGUAAAAAAAUCUCAAAAUCUACCCUUAAAUACAAGGGGUUAUGGGUUCCACCUCAACCAAACACUGAAGCCAAUGAAGUUCAGAAGGAGCAACCAUUUGUUAGGACUAGAAAGAGGACUAGGGUUAGGCUAGAUGAUGAUGUUGGGGUGUCAAAUGUGAGUGGGGCUUUAUUUGAUAGUAGUGGUACAGAUAGUGAAGGGGAUUACCAACCUGACCAAGGUUUUGAUGUAGACACUGAAUCUGAUGAUGAUGAAAUGGAGUAUGAAGAGGGUGAUAUUAAUGAACUCUUGAAUCAAAAUUAUGUAGAUGGUGGAUGGGAACCAUUUAGGACAAAUGAAUGAGCUGUUGAUGAUGAUUCCUACAUGAGUAGGUUGUACAGGAAUGGGGAGGUGUUUGAGGAGGCAGAGUUUGGUAAAAUAAGGUUGAAACAGUGGCAGCUUUUUGUAGACAAAGAUCAUUUCAAGGAUGCUUUAAGAGAUUUUUGUAUCCAAGAGGGAUUUGCUCUGGUUGUGAACAAGGCAGACAAUAGAAGAUAUACUGCAGAGUGUGCUGAUGAGAGAUGCAACUGGAGGGUUCAUGCAGCUUUGCUACGUGAUGGACAAACAUGGGCCAUCAAAAAGUUGAGAAAAGGCCAUACUUGUGACCUAAACUUAGUAAACAACCCCAUGUGUAACUGUGAAUGGGCUGCUAAUAAGCUUCUUGAGGACAUAAGAGGUAACACAGACAUUAAGGGAAAGGCCUUAAAUGCUCUACUCUGGGAAAGAUAUGGUUUGAAAAUGUGCAGAUCUACCAUUUAUAGAAUGAAGGGAAUAGCAAUGAAGAUCAUACAAGGGGGGCAUGAUGAAUCUUACACUUCUUUGCCUCAGUAUUGUGAACUAUUGAAGGGGAGCAACCCUGGGUCAAUGGCCUUUUGCUGUUGGACUAAUGUUCCGGGUCCUGAAAGAUCACUACAAUUUUCAUCAAUUUUUAUCAGUUUUGCUGCACAGUUCAAGGGGUUGAUAAGCGGAUGUAGAGGGUUAGUUGGAGUAGACGGAUGUCACUUGAAGGGAAACUACGGGGGUAUCUUAUUGUCUGUUGUUUCCUUAGACGGUAACAACGAGAUUUUUCCAGUUGCUGUAGCAGUUGUUGAUUAUGAAAAUAAGACAAGUUGGAGUUGGUUCUUUCACCAUCUAAAGAAAAUACUCACUGCUACAGGGAGAGGAGACUGGACUAUAAUGUCUGAUCGACAAAAGGGUGUAGACCCAUCUUUGGACUCAGUUUAGCCAAAGGUGCCUAGAAGGUUUUGUGCUAGGCACUUAUGUAAAAACUUCAAGAAAGACUACCCCGGAUUACUCAUGCAUAAACUAUUUUGGAGUGUUACAAAUGCGUACUCAGACUACUCAUUUAGGAAGGCAAUGGUUCAACUUCAAAAACAUGGUGGUUUAGGGGCAGUGAAAUGGUUUAAAGAUGUAGGCCCACUAGAGCGAUGGACAAGGUGGAGGUUUGACCCCACUUUGAAAAGUGAUGAAAACACAAAUAAUUUUGUGGAAAGCUUCAAUAGUACUAUUGGGGUGGACAGAACUUAUCCAAUUCUAACUCUACUA